CUAAGCUAUUAGAACUAUUUUCAAAUACAACCACUAAACAACAUGCUUCUGCACCGAUUGGAAGAAGAUUGGACUUUAUUGCAAGUUAAUUGAAAUUUCACUAUUGGCCACAUGACCGAUACGUUUUCAAAAUCUUUACAGUCUUCUUUGUUACAAUUAUGUUAUUUGUACAAGCAUGCUUGACAGUGUCGAUGUUGUCAAAAUUUGAGCCAUUGAUUUUAAAAACAGUUUUUGAAAUGGAUGAAUGUGUGAUGUUUCAAACUAUGAAUUGUUAACCAAUAUUGUCAAAUUAAAUUGUACAUGUAGCAUUAUUCUCUUUGUUAAUCUCGUCAUUAUUGUGACUUUGCAGGUUCUUGGUUUUUUCCAGCCCUUCUGCAUCCUUAAUCAUCUCAGCAAAAAAAAGUUGAUAUCUCCUCUAUUGCCUAGGCAGCGAACUUCUUCAUAUCAAAUUUUGCAUUUAGAAGCAAAUGAACUGUUUCCAGCUGCGAUGUUUGAUAUAGUUCGGUAAGCAUAGAUAACUUGGUAGGUUCAUUCAUCUGAGCUAGCAAAGGAGCCAAAGCUCCAUGACUAAGCACAAGAU
rnacentral:lncRNA from 1 species